UCGGGGGUGGUGUAAUUGGCAACACGACAGGUUCUGGCCCUGUUGUUAGGGGUUCGAGUCCUCUCCCCCGAG
rnacentral:tRNA from 1 species